rnacentral:rRNA from 1 species
AAUCUUCUAAAACAACGCGGCUUUCACCAUGUGCUCGUCGUAGAGGACGGGCGGCUGCUUGGCGUGAUAUCGGAUCGAGACGUGCUUCAGGCACUGAGUCCUUUUCUCGACACGCUCGUCGAGCAACCACGUGAUGUAAACACACUCGGAAUGCAUGCACGGCAGGUCAUGAGCAGCACGCUGAUAACCGCCGGACCCGAUACCACGGU